rnacentral:lncRNA from 1 species
GUAAGUGGUGCCAAACUGGCCUUGUCCUAGUUUACGACCCAGGGUAUAGAGAUCGCGAAUGUUAGGGGUCUUAUGACCCAGCACGUAAUAGGACUGGUUGACGCCGGUGCGAUUCAUCUCUUUUCUGAGAGGUAAAUUACUAGGAGGAGGAUGACAGCUCGGUGCAUAAGUAAGUGGUACCAAACUGGCCUUGUCCUAGUUUACGACCCAGGGUAUAGAGAUCGCGAAUGUUAGGGGUCUUAUGACCCAGCACGUAAUAGGACUGGUUGACGCCGGUGCGAUUCAUCUCUUUUCUGAGAGGUAAAUUACUAGGAGGAGGAGGUUGUUGUUGUUGUUGUUUUUUGGGGGUGGGAGUAGGAGAGGGAGAAUCAGAAUCCGGAUUGGUGCGCUUGGAAUGGUCUUGAGGGGGCUGAGCAAAAGUUUUGCCUCCGAAAGAUCCACGGCAUGUAUUGCCCAUCAAACAAUCACAAUCCCCAGCCCUCAGCUCAAUAAAGCUUUCCUCAUCCAAUCCUUCUUGUUUCCUUUUUCGCAUCCAAAACUUGUAAAACAAUGAUUGAUAGAUCUAAAACAAAAGAAGGGAAGCACGUAUCAGGGGGAGGAAGACGGUCAAUUCUAUCGCUACUGGUGAUGCCCAAGAAGAGGAAGAAGAAGAUGAUAUACGGAGGUCAACUCGUGAACAUUGUACCGAUCUACUCUCCAACUAUUUUAUUUAGGAAAAACAAAAUCUUACUUGUAAUAGAGUGUCUUUUUAUUACUUACUAUUACUCCAUUGGGAAAAAUUUUCGGCUCUUCUUUCUUUUUAAAGCAAGGUGAACCAUAAAUAGUGGAAAAUAAAGACUUCGUGAAAUCGGAACUUAGCA